GACGAACGCUGGCGGCGUGCUUAACACAUGCAAGUCGAACGGUGAAGCUCCAGCUUGCUGGAGUGGAUCAGUGGCGAACGGGUGAGUAACACGUGAGCAACCUGCCCCUGACUCUGGAAUAAGCGCUGGAAACGGCGUCUAAUACUGGAUACGAGAAGGGUCCGCAUGGGCACUUUCUGGAAAGUUUUUCGGUUGGGGAUGGGCUCGCGGCCUAUCAGCUUGUUGGUGAGGUAAUGGCUCACCAAGGCGACGACGGGUAGCCGGCCUGAGAGGGCGACCGGCCACCCUGGGACUGCGACACGGACCAGUCGCCUACGGUCGGCAGCAGUGGGGAAUAUUGCACAAUGGGCGAAAGCCUGAUGCAGCGACGCCGCGUGAGUGAUGACGGCCUUCGGGUUGUAAACCUCUUUCAGCAGGGAAGAAGCGAAAGUGACGGUACCUGCAGAAGAAGCACCGGCUAACUACGUG
rnacentral:rRNA from 1 species